AAUCAACGCUGGCGGCGUGCCUCAGACACGCAAGUCGAACGAUUAAAGCUCUCUUCGGAGAGUGUAUAGAGUGGCGCACGGGUGAGUAACACGUAAGUAAUCUACCUUUGAGUGGGGAAUAACAGUCGGAAACGACUGCUAAUACCGCAUAAUGCAGCGGCACCGCAAGGUGACAGUUGUUAAAGGAGCAAUUCGCUUAAAGAGGAGCUUGCGGCAGAUUAGCUUGUUGGUAAGGUAACGGCUUACCAAGGCUACGAUCUGUAUCCGGUCUUAGAGGACGGUCGGACACACUGACACUGAAUAACGGGUCAGACUCCUACGGGAGGCAGCAGUCGGGAAUUUUGGGCAAUGGGCGAAAGCCUGACCCAGCAACGCCGCGUGAAGGAUGAAGUAUUUCGGUAUGUAAACUUCGAAAGAAUAGGAAGAAUAAAUGACGGUACUAUUUAUAAGGUCCGGCUAACUACGUGCCAGCAGCCGCUGU
rnacentral:rRNA from 1 species